UACGUAGGGUGCAAGCGUUGUCCGGAAUUAUUGGGCGUAAAGGGCGCGUAGGCGGCCAUGCGUGUCUUCCGUGAAAUCCCUCGGCUUAACCGAGGACGUGCGGAAGAAACUGCAAGGCUCGAGUCCGGGAAGAGGGGGGCGGAAUUCCCAGUGUAGCGGUGAAAUGCGUAGAUAUUGGGAGGAACACCAGUGGCGAAGGCGGUCCCCUGGGCCGGAACUGACGCUGAGGCGCGAAAGCGUGGGUAGCAAACGGG
rnacentral:rRNA from 1 species